rnacentral:miRNA from 1 species
AUCACAUUGCCAGGGAUUACUA